rnacentral:rRNA from 1 species
GACGAACGCUGGCGGCGUGCUUAACACAUGCAAGUCGAACGGUAAGGCCCUUCGGGGUACACGAGUGGCGAACGGGUGAGUAACACGUGGGUGAUCUGCCCUGCACCUCGGGAUAAGCCUGGGAAACGGGGUCUAAUACCGGAUUGGACCCUGGGAGAGAUGUCCUGGGGUGGAAAGCUUUUGCGGGGUGGGAUGGGCCCGCGGCCUCUCAGGUUGUUGGUGGGGUGCUGGCCUACCAAGGCGACCGCGGGUAGUCGGCCUGAGAGAGUGACCGGCCCCACUGGGACUGGGAUACGGCUCAGACUCCUAAUUGAGGAAGCAGUGGGGAAUAUUGCACAAUGGGCGCAAGCCUGAUGCAGCGACGCCGCGUGAGGGAUGAAGGCCUUCGGGCUGUAAACCUCUUUCAGCACCGACGAAGCGCAAGUGACGGUAGGUGCAGAAGAAGGACCGGCCAACUACGUGCCAGCCGCCGCCGUAA